rnacentral:rRNA from 1 species
UACGUAGGUGGCAAGCGUUAUCCGGAUUUAUUGGGCGUAAAGGGAACGCAGGCGGUCUUUUAAGUCUGAUGUGAAAGCCUUCGGCUUAACCGGAGUAGUGCAUUGGAAACUGGGAGACUUGAGUGCAGAAGAGGAGAGUGGAACUCCAUGUGUAGCGGUGAAAUGCGUAGAUAUAACUUAGAACUCCGAUAGCGAAGGCAGCUUACCAGACUGCGACUGACGCUGAAGCACGAGAGCGUGGGUAGCGAACAGG